GACGAACGCUGGCGGCGUGCUUAACACAUGCAAGUCGAGCGGUAAGGCCCUUUCGGGGGUACACGAGCGGCGAACGGGUGAGUAACACGUGGGUGACCUGCCCUCAGCUCUGGGAUAAGCCCGGGAAACUGGGUCUAAUACCGGAUAUGACUUCAUGACGCAUGUUGUGGAGUGGAAAGCCUUGUGCGGCUGAGGAUGGGCCCGCGGCCUAUCAGCUUGUUGGUGGGGUGANGGCCUACCAAGGCGACGACGGGUAGCCGGCCUGAGAGGCGACCGGCCACACUGGGACUGAGAUACGGCCCAGACUCCUACGGGAGGCAGCAGUGGGGAAUCUUGCGCAAUGGGCGAAAGCCCUGACGCAGCGACGCCGCGUGAGGGAU
rnacentral:rRNA from 1 species